rnacentral:rRNA from 1 species
AUUGAACGCUGGCGGCAGGCCUAACACAUGCACGUCGAGCGGAGCGGCGCACGGGUUAGUAAUGCCUAGGACUCGGCCUGGUAGUGGGGGAUAACGUCCGGAAACGGGCGCUAAUACCGCUUCCUAUCAGAUGAGCCUAGGUCGGAUUGGCUCGUUGGUGGGGUAAAGGCCUACCAAGGAGACGAUCAGUAACUGUUCUGAGAGGAUGAUCAGUAAAACUGGAACUGAGACACGGUCCAGACUCCUACGGGAGGCAGCAGUGGGGAAUAUUGGACAAUGGGCGAAAGCCUGAUCCAGCCAUGCCGCGGGUGUGAAGAAGGGCUUCGGAUUGUAAAGCACUUUAAGUUGGGAGGCGGUACCAACAGAAGAAGCACCGGCUAACUUCGUGCCAGCAGCCGCGGUAAUAC